AGAGAAAAACAGUAGUUGUUGUGGGUUGAAUUGUGCCCCCCUCAAAAUCUGUUUAUAUAUGUCUUUCCCAAUAAACAAGGAAUUCCUCCAGAGGCCAUUCAUCUUCAAUGUUUUUGUUUUGUUGAGGAAGAUUGGCCCUGAGCUAAUGUCUAUGCCCAUCUUCCUCUACUUUAUAUGUGGGAUGCUGCCACAGCAUGGCUUGAUAAGCGGUGCGUAGGUCCAUGCCUGGGAUCUGAACCAGCGAACCCCAGAUCGUCGAAGCAGAGCAUGCAAACUUAACAACUGCACCACCAGCCAGCCCCUCAUCUUCAAUCCUAUAGAGGUCUCCAAUUCAUUGACCUCACCACUGUCAAACUCCCCAUCGAGACCUCACUUCUUUUCGUAUCCAGUGCCUGACAACACUUCAAAUGGGGGGUGCUCUAUAUGCCUGGGUUCUGGAAUAAGGAGGACUCAGCAGAACCCCCAGCUGACUCAUGAUAGGUGAGUCAAGUCUACCAGGUGGAGAAGACAGCUGAGAGUACCUCAUGCAGAGAGAGCAUUGUGUAAAAAGGCACAAAGAAGUCUGAGGACACCAAGGUGGGAAUGUAACAUAGCUUGAGCGGAGUGAAGCUUCAAGAAUGAACCUGGAGGAGCAAGUUGGGACUCAUUCAUAAGGGUAUGUAAUGAAACUGAAGCUGGGUGCCUGGGGGUUACUGUAAAUAUUCAAUAAGAACAUGAUUACCUUUCAACCCUGUUCCCAUAACACACAUAGAUGAAAAGAAGUUAAUCUUGUUAAUUUGCUAUUUUCUUGUUUAACCUGAGGGGUGACUCAAGGGUCACAAGGAUUUAUGAGCUUGUUUUGCAGAAGAAAAAGAAUGCCUUCGAGGAAGAUACAAUCACAGAUAACCAGCCCCCAGCUGCCACUGAUGCCCAGAAGUCUGAUUGCCCAGGGGCUUCUCUGGAGUGAAAGAAACACAGAUUACCCCUUUGUUUCUCCAAAACUCCUUCUGCCAAGCCCCUUUGGCAGAAACCACCCGCUGCUUUCUUCUCUCAUUAAGGUGGAUUUGUGAGAGCCUAUCCUCCCACCUUCUCUUUUGGCCAAUUCAGCUAGAUGUUCCUCCAUCCCUGAGUGCUGAGGUCUCAGUGAUUGGUUGACUGCAUCGCAUGCGAACUCCAGGUUAAGAGGUUCGCUAUCAAAAUGACUAGAGUUUAACCUUUGUCAAGGAAGUGAUUUGGAAUCAGUGAAGGUUUUCGAAUAGGAGAUUCUCCCUGUCCCAUUAUCUUUUGGGAAGAUUACUUAGACUUUAGUGUGGAGGCAGGAUGGAAGAAGGGGAGGUGGUUAAGACUUAGACAUGGAGAAAGUUUGGAGAGGGACUUUUCUUAUAGCAUAGGAAAGGAGAGAUGAGGACAUGAACUUUGGUGACAUUAAUGUUUUAUCAUUACAACACUAACAUUUUGGUAGAGAAAAUAUGAAAUUGGGUAGAGAAAAUAUGAAAUUGUGAUUAAGAACUUGGCUCUGAAACUAGGUAUGACAAAGAGAUUGCCACAUAUUGAGGUAUACGGGGUAACUAUUUGAGUUCAAAACUGAGCCAGCUUGAACUAAAAACCCUGACUUAUGGCCUAUCAAAGAUACAUUGUACAUCUGCUUAACCAUUAAAGUAAAGAAUGCACUCUCUUAAGAUAAGAAAGCAUACUUCCAGGUCGGCCUGAUGGCGCAGUGGUUAAGUUUACAUCUGCUUCCGUGGCCUGGGGUUUGCCAGUUCAGAUCCUACGUGCGUACCUAUGCACCACUUGUCAAGCCAUGCUGUGGCAGGCAUCCCACAUAUAAAGUAGAGGAAGAUGGGCACGAAUGUUAGCUCAAGGUUAAUCUUCCUCAAAAAAAAAAAAAAAAGAAUGCAUACUUCCCCUCUUACGCCCUAUUGGUAAUGCCAGGCUUAGUCCCUUUCCUGGCAUCAUGGUCAUGUUGACACGCUAAUUUGCAACUGAAUACCUCUUAGAAAAUUUAUCCUGGGUGUGUUUAAUGUAUCUUCUUUGUCCUAAAAAGAUAUAACACUGUACUGAAACCCAUACUUCUCUGCAACACCUUCUAAGGCCUCCCUCGGUUAUAAUCCUCACUCUGGCUCUUAAUAAACUCACCUCAAUUUUGACUUAUAAAUUGGUUGUGGAUUAUUUGCGUUGACAGGUAGAACCUAGUUUAAAACCCACUUUUGCCUCUACCUGGCUUUAUUACCAGGGCAAGAGUUCCUCAACCUCUUGGCUUCAAAUUUUUCUUUGAAAAUUAAAAUGAUAAUAACAUCUCUUUUUUUAGGUCAUUGUGAGGCUUUCAUUGGAUCAUGCACAUAAAGCACUUAGCAUGAGCCUGGCACAAAGUAAGUGCUCCAUAGGCAGAGGUACAGUGAUCAUGAUGAUAGUGAUAUUGUGGGAAACGGUGUGUGAGACGUAGAUUCAAGUUAGUUCUUCUCAAUCUUAUUCAAUGGUGCAGUGGAAUUCUGGAAACAGAAGAGUCUGAGUCUCAGUACUAUCACUCAUAGCAGUGUCACUUUUGGAAAAGACAGCUGACUUUUUUCUUUUUACUACUUUUUUUAAGAAGACCAUUUCUUUUUAGAGCAGAUUUAGGUUCACAGUAAAAUUAAAAGGAAGGUACAGAGAGUUCCCAUAUACUUCCUAGCCCCACACGUGAACAGCCUCCUGCAUUAUCAACACCCCACACCAAAGUGGUACUUUUGUUCAAUUGAUGGACCUCUGUUGACACAUCACACUCACCCAAAGCCCGUAGUUUACAUUAGGGUUCUCUCUUGGUGUUGUCCAUUCUAUGGGUUUAGAUGAAUGUACAAUGACAUGUAUUUAUCAUUCUAGUAUCAUACAGAGUAUUUUUACUGUCCCCAAAAUCCUCUGUGUUCCACCCAUUCAUUCCUCCAUCUCCACUAACCCCUGGCAACACAGAUCUCGUUACUGGUUCCUUAGUUUUGCCUUUUCCAGGAUGUCAUAUAGUUGGAAUCAUACAGCAUGUAGCCUUUUCAGAUUGGAUUCUUUCACUAGUAAUACGCAUUUAAGAUUCCUCCAUAUCUUUUUCUGGCUUGACAGCUCAUUUAUUUUUAGUGCUGAAUAAUAUUCCAUUGUCUGGAUGUACCACCAUUUAAUUAUCCAUUCACCUACUGAAGGACAUCUCGGUUGCUUCCAAGUUUUGGCAAUUAUGAGUAAAACUGCUGUAAACAUCUGUGAAGUUUUUGUGUGGAUAUAAUUUUAUAGUUUAAAUCCUUUGACUAAAUACCAAAGAACAUCAUGCACUUGAUUGUAUGUUGAGAGUAUGUUUAGUUUUGUAAGAAACCCCCAACUGUUUCCCAAAGUGGUUGUACCAUUUUGCAUUCCCACCAGCAAUGAAUGAGAGUACCUGAUGCUCCACAUCCUCACCAGCGCUUGAUGUCAGUGUUCUGGGUUUUUGCUAUUCUAAUAGGUGUGCGCAGCAGUAUCUUACUAUUGUGUAAUAAUUUGCAUUUCCCUGUGGCGUAUGACACGGAGCAUCUCUUCAUGUGCUUAUUUUCUAUCUGCACAUCUUCUUUGGUGAACUGUCUGCUAAAAUCUUUGGCUCGUUUUUCAAUCGGGAAGACAACCAACUGUUAUGAAGCCCAGUUUCCCUAUCCACAAAAUGGGGGCCUUGCUGCUGGCACCGUCUCCAUCACAGGCUGUUGAGAGCUUCAAGGUGGGGUAAGAUAUGUGAAAACUUUUUGUUAAUGAUGAGAUUCUAAUUACAUGGAAAGUAUUAUUUAUCUGAUUGUCCCUUUAACUGCAAGUCAGCACUAUUCUAUUCUUUGUUGUGUUACUUUAAAUGUCAUUUAAGUUCUAAGAGUAUCAAAUUAGAAAAUUAGAAACCGAAAGAGACCAAUUUUACAACAAAGAAAGUAACAUUCAGCAAGCUCUGAAUUCUUCAAACUCUGUGGCUCCCGGCGUGAACUGGCACAUCUCCCUUCACAAGGGCUGUGGGGCUGCAGUCUUGUUUCCAUGCAGAUGAGAACAAGGGGAUGUGGCUGCCUCAGAGAACCAGACAGGGAACACAGUGAACUGAGAUUCUGCUCCCUGAUCUGCCUGGAUCUGGUUCCCUACCCUGUGCUAAAGGGAGGCAUAGCUUUAAAAGGACAGACGUGUGUGUGUCUGUUCCCUAGUCGUCAGUGACAGCUGUGCUAAUUGAGAGAAACGCCGUGCCAAAUCCACAUUUUAAUAUUUGAGAAUUUACUUCAUAUUAGCUAUACCACUAGUUGCACACCAGGCUGGCUGCAUAAGACUCACUCUGGGGAGAUUACAAACAGUUUUACUCAUUCAAAAAUAUUUAUUAUGUCUCUAACAUGCACUAGUGGGAACACGUACUGUAGACGGGGGAUACAGCAGUGAACAAAACAUAGUGCUGGCUCAUGUGGAGCUUACACCUGAGUGUGGGAAGAUAAGUGAUAAACAAACACAUAAAUAUAUAAUAUGUCAGAUGGUGACAAGUAGUAUAAAGAAAAAUAAAGCAGAUUAAGGGUCACAGAGAUGAUGAAAAUGGGAAUAUGUUAUUUUACACAGUUGGUCAGAGAAGAUCCCUCUGAUAAGGUGACAUAUAAACAAAGGCCUGAAGGAAGUGAGAGAAAAAGGCAUGUGGAUAUCUGGGGGGGGACAUCUGGGCGAAGGGUCAUUAUGCAGAAAGAAUAGCAUGUGCAAAGGUCCUGAGGUAGGAGCAUACUUGUUUUAUUUUAUUUUAUUUUUCUUCUUCAUGAAGCAGCAAUGAGACCAGAAACUGAAGAUGAGUAAGUUUAGGUGGAGGGAGACUUAGUAGAUGGAGCAGAGAUCUAGAGGCUGGGGACAGAGCAACAGGGACCUCUAGACCACAGAAAGGAUUUAGAAUCUAACACUGAGUGAGAUAAGAAGGCGUUGAAAAUUUUGAGCAGAUAAGUGACAAGAUCCGACUUUGGUUUUUAAAGGAUCUUUCUGGGUGUCCUAUAGAAGAGCAUAGACUAUGAGUGAGGGGGCAAGGAUGGAAUCAGGACACUGACCGGUAUGUACCUGCCAUAUUUCAGGUGGGAGAUGAGGGGGUGACCUGGACGAGGGGCUAGUGGUGGAGAUGGCAUAAAUAUUUAUCUUUUUACUUCCUCCUCCACCCACUCCACUUCCAAUUCAGUUGAUUUAGAAUAGAAACUAAGAAUCUGCAUUUUAGAAACAUUCUCUCUUGGGGCUGGCCCAGUGGUGUAGUGGUUAAGUUCACAUGUGCUGGUUCGGAUCCCAUACGCGGACCUAGCACUGCUUAUCAAGCCAUGCUGUGGCAGCAUCCCACAUAAUAAAAUAGAGUAAGAUGGGCACAGAUGUUAGCUCAGGGCCAAUCUUCCUCAGCAAAAAGAAGAGGAUUGGCAGCGGAUGUUAGCUCAGGGCUAUUCUUCCUCAAAAAAAACAAAACCAAAACGUUCUCUAGGUGAGUCUGAGGCCCCGGCAGGUUUCAAAACCAGUGACUCAAAAAUGAGAAAUCACAGCCUCCUUUCCUCUGAGGUCUUCUCCUUGGAUCUCUCUGCCUGCCUCUGUUCUUCCCUCCUCCUCUGGCUCAAGUCUUCUGUCUCAGGCCUCUUGCAUAGCCCUGCUGCCUUUGUUUCCCUUUAUCUGUCCUCCCUGGUGAUUUUCUGCUAUUCUCAACUGGCCAAACCCCAGGCAGCUGCCUGCUCCUGCCCUGGAGAUCACCCCCACACUGCAGCUGGAUUUUUCUUCCCCAGUGCCCUUUCCUUUCAUCUUGUCAUUUUCCUGCCAGAAUCUUUCCUAUGCCUCUGCUCUGCCUCCUAGAGAAAGUCCAAUGUGCCAGCCCCUUACAGUCUGGCCCCUAUCAAUCAUCCUGCCAGUGAGAUCCCCGCCUUGUGCCUGCCCAAAGUCAGCCUCAGCAGGCUAAAGUGAUUUAUUUGCUUGGCUUCAGAAAUAACAUGCAAGUUCCUAUUUCUGCCUCUUUCUUCAUACAAUUUAUCUCAUCAGCUGGGCUAAUCUGUUUUCUUUGUCUUACCAAAUCCUACACAUCCUGCAAAGGCAUUGCACAAAUCCUUAUUAAAAACGUAUUUUUAAAAUGUUUGAAUGGUUAAUACAGG
rnacentral:lncRNA from 1 species